rnacentral:sRNA from 1 species
GAAUAGGAUUCAGGCGGUCCCGUCCCGCUGUGGUGUUAACGGCAUACUGUCUGCACUUCUCAUGGGCAAGAUGAGUCUCGCGUGCCAGGUUCCUCCUGGUUUUCUCCUGCCUC